UACGUAGGAUGCAAGCGUUGUCCGGAAUUAUUGGGCGUAAAGAGCGCGCAGGCGGCAUGACAAGUCAGAUGUGAAAGAGGCCGGCUUAACCGGCAAGGGUCAUUUGAAACUGUCAGACUAGAGUGCAGCAGAGGAUAGUGGAAUUCCCGGUGUAGUGGUGAAAUGCGUAGAUAUCGGGAGGAACACCAGUGGCGAAGGCGACUAUCUGGGCUGAAACUGACGCUGAGGCGCGAAGGCUAGGGUAGCAAACAGG
rnacentral:rRNA from 1 species